rnacentral:lncRNA from 1 species
AUAUAUGCUUACCAAAAGUGGCCCACUAGGCGGCUCGCAUUCCACGCCCGGCUCCAAGCCAGCGAGCCGGGUUUCUUACCCAUUUAAAGUUUGAGAAUAGGUUGAGAUCGUUUCGGCUCCAAGACCUCUAAUCAUUCGCUUUACCAGAUAAAACUGUGAGACUUCGAGCGCCAGCUAUCCUAAGGGAAAGUUCGGAGGGAACCAGCUACUAGAUGGUUCGAUUAGUCUUUCGCCCCUAUACCCAGGUCGGACGACCGAUUUGCACGUCAGGACCACUACAGACCUCCACCAGAGUUUCCUCUGGCUUCGCCCUGCCCAGGCAUAGUUCACCAUCUUUCGGGUCCUAUUGCACGCGCUCACGCUCCACCUACCCGACAGAGCGGGCGAGAUGGGCCGGUGGUGCGCGGCCGGGAUCCCACCUCAGCCGGCGCGCGCCGGCCCUCACUUUCAUUGCGCCACGGGGUGUGUUCGGAGAAAACCGUCUGACUUGCGUGUGCGUUAGACUCCUUGGUCCGUGUUUCAAGACGGGCCGGGUGGGUUGCCAACAUCGCCGCUGACCCCUGGCGCCAGUUUACGUGAACCAAUCCCUGGCGACGCAACGCAGUCGGGUGCGCACUGAGGACAGUCCGACCCGGUUGACAGUCGCGCCGGGGGACCCGUACCCCCCCCGCAGGGGGACAUGACGCAGCGGGUACUAAGUCCUCGGCCCUGGAAAGCGGCGAGUAUGGAGCAGGGGCGCUGUAAAGCUCACGGCCGAAACCAGUAGCCACCUUCGCCCCAAGCCCUUCCAAGCCGACCCAGAGCCGGUCGCGGCGCACCACAGACGGAGGAAAUGCGCCCGGCGGGGGGAUCCGACCACACCGGAACGGCUGACCCUGACCCGCCGAGUUGAAUCCUCCGGGCAGACUGCGCGGACCCCACCCGUUUACCUCUCAACGGUUUCACACCCUCUUGAACUCUCUCUUCAAAGAUCUUUUCAACUUUCCCUUACGGUACUUGUUGACUAUUGGACUCGUGCCGAUAUUUAGCCUUAGAUAAAGUUUACCACCCGCUUUGGGUUGCAUUCACAAGCAACCCGACUCCGAGAAGACCGGACCCCGGCAUGACGGGGGCCGUUACCAGCCUCACACCGUCCACGGGCUGAGCCUCGAUCAGAAGGACUCAGGCCCCCGAUCAACACCGGGCAAAGCGGUCUUCUAUACGCCAAACUUCCCAU